ACACGUAGGGGGCGAGCGUUGUCCGGAAUUACUGGGCGUAAAGGGCGCGUAGGCGGCCUAAUAAGUCAGAUGUGAAACCCCCGGGCUUAACCCUGGGCUUGCAUUUGAAACUGUUGGGCUUGAGGACAGGAGAGGAAAGCGGAAUUCCCAGUGUAGCGGUGAAAUGCGUAGAUAUUGGGAGGAACACCAGUGGCGAAGGCGGCUUUCUGGACUGUAACUGACGCCGAGGCGCGAAAGCCAGGGUAGCGAACGGGAUUAGAUACCCCGGUAGUCCUGGCCGUAAACGAUGGAUACUAGGUGUGGGAGGUAUCGACCCCUUCCGUGCCGUAGCCAACGCACUAAGUAUCCCGCCUGGGGAGUACGGCCGCAAGGCUGAA
rnacentral:rRNA from 1 species